UACGGAGGGGGCUAGCGUUGUUCGGAAUUACUGGGCGUAAAGCGCACGUAGGCGGUGGAUCUAGUCAGGCGUGAAAGCCCCGGGCUUAACCUGGGAACUGCGCUUGAUACUGGUCCGCUUGAGUCCGGGAGAGGGUAGCGGAAUUCCCAGUGUAGAGGUGAAAUUCGUAGAUAUUGGGAAGAACACCGGUGGCGAAGGCGGCUACCUGGACCGGUACUGACGCUGAGGUGCGAAAGCGUGGGGAGCAAACAGG
rnacentral:misc_RNA from 1 species